UGGGGGAUAUUGCACAAUGGGCGAAAGCCUGAUGCAGCGACGCCGCGUGGGGGAUGAAGGCCUUCGGGUUGUAAACUUCUUUUGCUCUGAACAAGGCAUGCUAAUGGGUGUGUUGAGUGUAGAGGUUGAUUAGCGCCGGCUAACUACGUGCCAGCAGCCGCGGUAAUACGUAGGGCGCGAGCGUUGUCCGGAAUUAUUGGGCGUAAAGGGCUUGUAGGUGGCUGGUUGCGUCUGUCGUGAAAGCUCAUGGCUUAACUGUGGGUUUGCGGUGGGUACGGGCUGGCUUGAGUGCAGUAGGGGAGGCUGGAAUUCCUGGUGUAGCGGUGGAAUGCGCAGAUAUCAGGAGGAAUACCGGUGGCGAAGGCGGGUCUCUGGGCUGUUACUGACACUGAGGAGCGAAAGCAUGGGGAGCGAACAGG
rnacentral:rRNA from 1 species